AGUGACCUGAUGCUUUCCCCUGCAGGCCAGUGAGGGGUACUUCAGUCAAUCACAGGAGGAGGAGUUUGCCCAAUCGGAAGAGCUCUGUGCCAAGGCUCCGCCUCCUGUGUUCUACAACAAGCCUCCAGAAAUCGACAUCACAUGCUGGGAUGCAGACCCAGUUCCAGAAGAGGAGGAGGGCUUCGAGGGUGGUGAUUAGCGGUGGCGCCAGCCCUAGGCUACCCUUGCCAAGGCCGCCCACCUGCAUCGGCCUCUGGCCAGACGGCCCGCCGUGCCUGCAUUCGCAGCAGCUCCGCCUGGCACCCACUCCGGAUUCCGGCCCUGGCUGGGGACUUGGCCGCUUCCCUACCCACAGGGCCUGACUUUUACAGCUUUUCUCUUUUUUUAAAAAGUUGAUAGGAGACUUGUACAGUUGACUGGUUUUCCUCUCGUUGGUAGUUGAGACGCUGUUGCAAAUUCCACCCCUCCUUCCCUGGUCCAGAUUGUAGCUCUUAGUCCUCCCUGCUCAGCUGGCCGGGUUGGAGGCCUCACCCUGCUUGGGGCCUGGCGUGGGGGGAGCUCUGGUGGGAAAAUGUCCCCCACCUCUUUUCCUAGUUUUAUGUUUCUUGGAAAAAUAUCACUUUGUAUUCUCUGUCCAGGGCUUCAGAUAUUUUGCACGAAUUUUAAAACAUGGCAAUAAAUGGCUCGUGGGCUCUGGCUCCCUGGGACCCCCUCCCCGCCCUUCUUUUGACCCCUUCCUGUCUG
rnacentral:lncRNA from 1 species